rnacentral:rRNA from 1 species
GACGAACGCUGGCGGCGUGCCUAAUACAUGCAAGUCGAGCGAAGUUUUUCUGGUGCUUGCACCGGAAAAACUUAGCGGCGAACGGGUGAGUAACACGUAAAGAACCUGCCUCAUAGACUGGGACAACUAUUGGAAACGAUAGCUAAUACCGGAUAACAGCAUUAACUGCACGGUUGAUGUUUAAAAGUUGGUUUUGCUAACACUAUGAGAUGGCUUUGCGGUGCAUUAGCUAGUUGGUGGGGUAAAGGCCUACCAAGGCGACGAUGCAUAGCCGACCUGAGAGGGUGAUCGGCCACACUGGGACUGAGACACGGCCCAGACUCCUACGGGAGGCAGCAGUAGGGAAUCUUCCGCAAUGGGCGAAAGCCUGACGGAGCAACGCCGCGUGAGUGAAGAAGGAUUUCGGUUCGUAAAGCUCUGUUGUUAGGGAAGAAUGAUUGUGUAGUAACUAUACACAGUAGAGACGGUACCUAACCAGAAAGCCACGGCUAACUACGUG